rnacentral:rRNA from 1 species
AACGUAGGACGCAAGCGUUAUCCGGAGUUACUGGGCGUAAAGCGCGGGCAGGCGGUCGGUUAAGUCUGAUGUGAAAUCUCCUCGCUCAACGGGGAGCAGCCAUUGGAAACUAAUCGACUGGAGUCUGGCAGAGGUAGGCGGAAUUCCGGGUGGAGUGGUGAAAUGCGUAGAGAUCCGGAGGAACACCAGAGGCGAAGGCGGCCUACUGGGCCAGUACUGACGCUGAGCCGCGAAAGCCAGGGGAGCGAACGGG